rnacentral:rRNA from 1 species
GACGAACGCUGGCGGCGUGCUUAACACAUGCAAGUCGAACGAAGUGGCGAACGUGUGAGUAACGCGUAAUCCACCUGCCCUUCAGAGGGGGACCACAGUUGGAAACGACUGCUAAUACCGCAUACUGCAGCAGGGUAUUCCGUCUGAUUAGCUAGUGGGAGGGGUAACGGCCCACCAAUGCGAUGAUCAGUAGCCGGUCUGAGAGGAUGAACGGCCACAUUGGGACUGAGACACGGCCCAGACUCCUACGGGAGGCAGCAGUGGGGAAUCUUCCGCAAUGGACGAAAGUCUGACGGAGCAACGCCGCGUGAGUGAUGACGGCCUUCGGGUUGUAAAGCUCUGUUAAUCGGGACGCGGUACCGGAAUAGAAAGCCACGGCUAACUACGUGCCAGCAGCCGCGGUAAUUC